rnacentral:rRNA from 1 species
GGGGCAAGUGGUUUAAUUUAAGCCAACGCGAAGACUUACUACCCUUGACAUACAGCGACUUGGCAGAGAUGCCUUGGUGCCUUCGGGAACGCUGAUACAGGUGCUGCAUGGCCGUCGUCAGCUCGUGUCGUGAGAUGUUGGGUUAAGUCCCGCAACGAGCGCAACCCUUGUCCUUUUUUGCCAGCCGGUGAUGCCGGGAACUCAAAGGAAACGGCCGGGGAUAAACCGGAGGAAGGGGGGGACAACGUCAAGUCAUCAGGGCCCUUACGGGCAGGGCUACACACGUGCUACAAUGGCGCGUACAAAGGGCUGCAAACUCGCGAGAGUAACCGAAUCCCAAAAAGCGCGUCGUAGUCCGGAUCGAAGUCUGCAACUCGACUCCGUGAAGUCGGAAUCGCUAGUAAUGUGAAUCAAAAUGCCACGGUGAAGUUUUCCCCCGGGACCA